rnacentral:rRNA from 1 species
UACGAAGGGUGCAAGCGUUAAUCGGAAUUACUGGGCGUAAAGCGUGCGUAGGCGGUUCUUUAAGUCUGCUGUGAAAUCCCCGGGCUCAACCUGGGAAUGGCAGUGGAUACUGGAGAGCUAGAGUGUGAUAGAGGAUGGUGGAAUUCCCGGUGUAGCGGUGAAAUGCGUAGAGAUCGGGAGGAACAUCAGUGGCGAAGGCGGCCAUCUGGAUCAACUCUGACGCUGAGGCACGAAAGCGUGGGGAGCAAACAGG